UAACGUUCAUUGUCCAUCACAAGAAGAAAAAAAAUGAAUCGUCCCACAAAACACUUAUCCUUCUUGCUCACAAUUUCCUUGAUCUUGAUAAUUUCCCAUGCCAUAUCACCAACAUUAGGGACCAAUUUGUAUGAAAUUGUAUGCAAUGAUGCUGGAAAAGACAAUGAUCGUUGCUUGAAACUUUUAGAAUCCAACCCUCAAAUAAUUUCUGCAAAAGACUAUCCUACCCUUUGCAAAUUAAUCUUACAAAUGGCAAUACAAAAGGGUAUAGAGGGCCAAAAUGAACUUAAAAAAUUGAUAGAAAAAUACCCUUCUUCUAAAGCCAUCAAAGAUUGUGCAACCGUUGAUUACAAUGAGUUGGUUAAUUCAUUUUCAAGUUCUUUACGUGAAAUUGUUGAGGAUCCAGAUUCUGCAAACUAUGAUGCUAAAGUUGCUGGGGAUGGACCUCAAACAUGUGAAAGUGAUUUGGUUGAUGAAAAAAUAGUUAAUGAUCCUUCUAUUUCUACAUUGAAUAAUGAGAUGUAUUUUCUUAGUACCAUUGCAUUUCUUGCCACAAGUCAUCUUAACGAAUAAAAUAUUUGGUUUUGUGCAUGGUUGUUGGCUAUUAUUGUACUUUAAUAAACUUAUGGUUUAAAUAUACUUUUUAUAUCCUUUAUGUUUUAUUAAAUAUUCAUUUUUAUUUUUAUUUAUGUUUUAAAAUCAUUUUCAUCUUUUAAAAAUAAUAAAUUUUAGUUUUUUUUAUUAUAAUUUUUUAAAACAAUUGUAUGAUCAUUUGAUGAACGUUUGACAUUCUUAUAUGUACAUAUACAUGACUAAAUUGAUGUUUUGACUUUUUUAAAUAUUCAUUUGAAAAAGUUUAUAUAAUAACAUGUAAGAAGAGUUUUUUCAAGUACAAGUUUAUUUUUAGAUUAAAUUGAUGACUUAAUGUUGCUAUAUCUUUUACUGUGAUUGUGAAAAAAAAUUAAAACACAUCAUUUAUAAAAGAUAAAUGAUGAAAAUUAAUCUAAAAAAAGAGAUGAAUGAUUAAAAUGAAUUUCAGAAAAAAAAUAAAUGAUCAAAAUAAAUUUUAGGAAAACAAUAAAUAACCAAAAUUAGAUUUAAAAUGAAUAUCGAUAUAUUAAAAAAUAAUGGAACAAUAACUUUCCCUUUUUCUUUUUAUCAAUUUUUUUGCCUUAUAUAUGUUCUCUUAAGGUCAGUUUGGAGAGGUCAUUAGUUUUUCAGUUUUUGGUUUUCAAGGAGUGGUUGUUAGUUUUUCAUUUUUUAGUUUUGAAAUUCAAUUUCAAAAAACUAGAGGUUGAAUUGAGAUAUACCAAAUUUGAAUUUUUAAUUAUUUUUAUGUUUUCAUAUUUUUUAUAUUUAAUGCGUUUAUAAUGAGAUGAAGUAAAAAAAAAUAAUUCAAUUUAAUAUAUAUAUAUAUAUAUAUAUAUAUUAUAAUUUAUAACGAGACGAAGUGAAAAAAAGUGAUUCAAUUUAAAUAAUAUUAAAAAUUGAAAUUUAACUUAAAAUUAAAAUUAAAAUCUGCAAUUAAAAGUUGAAUAUUGAGAUUAAAAUCUCAAGAUUGAAAAUUGUAAUUAGUAUUGAUUAUUUUGUUUAUUAAUUGGUCAAAUGGUUUCUUUUUCCUAUAAUUAGUGUAUUAUUAUAAUUAUUGACUGGUAAAAGAAACGUAUUGUAAUUAUUUGAUUGGUAAAAUGUCUUUUAACUAAUUUAUUAAUCACAAAAUUUGGCCCUGUAUGGUUGAGGCAGCAAAUUAUAAUUGUUGUAUUGUUAUUUUCUUUAAUUUUUUAUUCAACAUAUAUUUAAUAGAUGCACUAUUAAUGAAAUAAAUAUAUUUUUUAAUUAUUUAAUUUAUGAAAAAAAAAUUUUAUUUUUAUUGAAAAAUGAUAAAUAUUUGUUUCCACUAUAUUAUUUAUACAAAAAUGUAUAUAAUAUUAAACAUUUGUCUUAUGUAUUAAUUUGAUUUUGUUUUCUCUCAAAAAAUUAUCCAAACGGCUGAUGUCAAUCAAAAUUGUUGAAUAAUUUUUAAUCAAUUAAAAUAAAUUGAAUAUUUUUUCGUUCUUAACUAUAAGAGAGUUUUUGGCCUUAUAUAUAAAAAUCAAUUACAACUUUUAUGGUGAAUUUAUUAUUUAAAUUACAUUUUUAACCUCUUUUAAGGUAUUAUCUUUUAAUGUUAGUAUUAGUGAGUAUUUUAUGUCUCACAAUUAUCAAUAAAAUUAUAAAAGUAUAUGUGUAAAAAUAAUUUAAAAAUUAAAAUAAUUAAUAAAUACAUUAAUUUUAAUUUCUUUUUAAUCUUAUAUAUUGUACCGGUACUAUAGGUAGUUCAAUAUAAGUUCAAAUCAAGCUUUCCAAGCCUACACUAACAUAAAAUAUUUUUCUAAUGUUUAUACGGUGAGUUACAAUUUGGUCUUUAUUCUUGUAAAACUUAUUGAUAUAAUUUUUUUUAUAAAUAUUUUGGUUUAAUUGCAGUUUUAGUUUCUUAUUUUAGCUGAAUUAUAAAAAUAGUUUUUCCAUUUUAUUUCUCUUCAUUUUUUGUCAAAAAAUUGAUGAAAUGUUAUCUUUUUGCGCUUAUGUAACCCACACCAUGCCUAAAGAUCUCGUGGUGCAACAAUUGUACCUGAGAUCUAUUAUUAUAAACGGUGAGAUGUGACUUAAAAAAAUAACAUUUCAUCAAGUUUUAGACCAAAAUUUUGUUUGAGAGGCCAAAAUUAAAGAUCAAUAAAAUGAAAAUACUAUUUUCGUGAUUCAACUAAAAUAGAGAGACCAAAACUACCAUUAAAUCAAAUAUCUUUAAUAUCUAUAUUCCAUAUGGUCUCGCGUACCCGAAGGAAGUUCCUUAUGUGGUUCUUUUUUUAACUUAGUUCCUUACGUUUUUUUUUUUUUUGCAUAUUAACUUUAAUAACAUAUAACACCUAUCAAAUAGUUCAUUGGGACUAGUGUACUUUCCCUUUGGAUUUUUUUAUCAAUAUAUCCUCUAAAUUUUGAACCAAAAUACCCCUUUUGUAAUUUACAUACUAAAAUGUCCUACUUUUUGGGGCUACUUGGAGGUCGUGGCCUGAGGGUGCGACCAACUAAAGGAACAUUUUUUUUUCCAUAGUAGGAGGUCGCUGGCUGGGGAUGUGACCUCUCAAAGGGUUUUAAAAAAAAAUUAAUUCGUUUUCAGUUUUAUGUAAUUGUUAAUAUUUUAAUAAAUAAUAAAAUUAAUAAAUAAUUAUAUUAAAUAAUACAUUAAUAAAUAACAAUAAUAAUAUAUUAAUAAAUAAUAAUAACAAUAAUAAUAAUUAUUAUUGUUAUUAUUAUUAAAAAUUGUUAUAAUUAAAAUAGUAAAUUAAUAUUAUUAUUAUUAUUAUUAAAAGUAAUUAAAAUUAAAAACAGUAAAUUAUAUUAUAAAUUUAAAAGAAAUACAUUAAUAAAAAAAAUUACAUUAAUAACAUGAAAUAAAAUUCAUUAAAUUAACGAAAAAAAAUACAUCUUAUUGAUGUCCACCUAAAUGACCUCCAAUUCCACAUCUAGAAUUUCGUCGAACUCGUCUAGCCCUCUGAACGAGUUGAGGUUCUUCCGGUUAUAUAAAUUUACCAUUUAAAAAAAUCUGUAAUUGGUUGGGCAAUUUAUGAUUAAUCAAUUUGUUAAAAUUAAUUUGAUACUUACCAAAUUUGCUACUAACCAAAUUGGACAAUUUACGAUUAAUCAAUUUGUUAUCAAAUUGGACAAUUUGCGAUUAAUCAAAUAAAAUACAAUAACAUAAAAUCAAAUCAAAUCAAAUCAAAUACAAUAAAAUACAAUAAAUAUAAAAUAAAAUAACAUAAAAUAAAAUAAAAUACAAUAAACUUAAAAAUGCUUUAAUAUAUUGGAUUUCAGCUCUAUGAUUCAUUGAUAGUUCCAUGAUAAAAAUAAAUUUUUUGAUUAAGAGAUGUAUUUGAAUGUAAGAAAGAGAUGUGAUAAAAAAAGAAAAAUGAGGAAGUUGGGAUAAAAUUGGAGAACAAAUGGUGUAUUGUAUUGUAUUUGAUUUGAUUUGAUUUUAUGUUAUUGUAUUUUAUUUGAUUAAUCCCAAAUUAUCCAAUUGGUAACAAAUUGAUUAAUCGCAAAUUGUCCAAUUUGAUACGUAGCAAAUUUGGUAAGUAUCAAAUUAAUUUUAACAAAUUGAUUAAUCAUAAAUUGCCCAACCAAUUAUGGAUUUUUUAAAAUGGUAAAUUUAUAUAAUCGGAAGAACCUCAACUCGUUCAGAGGAUUAAACGAGUUCGACGAAAUCCUAGAUGUGGAAUUGGAGGUUAUUUAGGUGGACAUCAAUAAGAUGUAUUUUUUUUCCGUUAAUUUAAUGUAUUUGUUUCAUGUUAUUAAUGUAAUUUUUUUUAUUAAUGUAUUUUUUUUAAUUUAUAAUAUAAUUUACUGUUUUUAAUUUUAAUUACUUUUAAUAAUAAUAAUAAUGUUAAUUUACUAUUUUAAUUAUAAUUAUUUUAAAUUAUUUUUAAUUAUAACAAUUUUUAAUAACAAUAAUAAUUAAUAAUAAUUAUUAUUGUUAUCAUUAUUUAUUAAUAUAUUAUUAUUAUUUAUUAAUGUAUUUUUAUUAUUUAUUAAUGUAUUAUUUAAUAUAAUUAUUUAUUAAUUUUAUUAUUUAUUAAAAUAUUAACAAUUACAUAAAACUGAAAAUGAAUUAAUUUUUUUUUUUAAAACCCUUAGGGAGGUCGCAUCCCCAGCCAGCGACCCCCUACUGAAAAAAAAAAAAGUUCCUUUAGCUGAUCGCACCCUCAGGCCACGACCUCCAAGUAGCCUAAAAAAGUAGGACAUUUUGGUAUAUAAAUUACAAAAGGGGGUAUUUUGGUUCAAAAUUUUUAAAAAGGGGAUAUAUUGAUAAAAAAUCCCUUUCCCUUUUGUAGAAAAAUUUUAUUUUAUAUAAUAUUAUAUAGAUAAGUUAAAGAUAACAAAUAAUCAUUCUAUUUAUUAUUAAAACAAUAAAAUUAAAAUAAAUAUGAAUUUGGGAAUUUAAAUGAACCAUAAGAGCACACAUGAAAUUUCUUAUUUAAGAAAAUAUUUACUUUAUUUAGUAAAAUUGGUAAAUGUUAAUUAAAUAUUAAAACAUAUAUAGUCAAACAUUCUAGUAAAUGAUUAUUUGAUUUGAUUAUAUAGUAGUUUUAAUUUUACAUUUUAAACACAAUUUUAAUUUGUUUUCUAGUAAUAUUAUUGAAUCAAAUUUUAUGCAGUAUAUAUAAGUUUUUAUUAUAAUUUUGUAUAUUAAUAAAAAAUUUCUAUUUUUUUAUAAUAAUUAAAAUUGUAUAAAGAAGAAUUUGGCAGGAAAUUGAACGAUUCUUUAGAGAGUACAUGAAAUUUCUUUUUCAUGAAAAUCUUUACUAGCGUAAUAACUCAUGCAUUACAUGGGACACAAUUUAUAUAUAUAUAUAUAUAUAUUUUGAAUUACUGAGUCUGAAUCGUAAAUUGUAAAUCGCUGAAUCUUAAUAGAAUAUACGAUUAUUGGAAAACGAUUGAAGAUGAAUACGUAUUGAAUCAAUUGAAAGAGGAAAUUGAAAGAAUCGGUUAAGAGGGAAUCGAAAAAAUCAAUGAAGAAAUCGGAAAUUUAUUUUUGAGAAGAGCUUUGGUAAUUCCCUGACCUUUUGAGCAAAUUUGAGAAGAGAGCAAAUGACACCUUGUCUGUAGCUAACAGUAAUUAUAGUGACAAAUAAAUAGAUAUCACUAAAAAUUAAGUGUCACAGUAGAACAUUUUUUUUGCAAUAACUUUAGAAAAGGAAAAUCUUAAAUAAAUAAUUUCAUAUGUCAAUCUUUUCAUGUUUACACUUAAAAAUAAAUUAACAUAUGAUGCUAAAGUUCUUUACGUGAAUAAGAAUGUGCAACCACCGAUUACAAUGAGUUGGUUAAUUCAUUUUCAAGUUCUUUACGUGAAAUUGUUGAGGAUCCAGAUUCUGCAAACUAUGAUGCUAAAGUUGCUGGGGAUGGACCUCAAACAUGUGAAAGUGAUUUGGUUGAUGAAAAAAUAGUUAAUGAUCCUUCUAUUUCUACAUUGAAUAAUGAGAUGUAUUUUCUUAGUACCGUUGCAUUUCUUGCCACAAGC
rnacentral:lncRNA from 1 species